UACGGGGGGAGCAAGCGUUGUUCGGAUUUACUGGGCGUAAAGGGCGCGUAGACGGUUACAUAAGUCGGGUGUGAAAGCCCCGGGCUCAACCUGGGAAUUGCAUUCGAGACUGCGUAGCUAGGGUGCGGAAGAGGGAAGCGGAAUUUCCGGUGUAGCGGUGAAAUGCGUAGAUAUCGGAAGGAACACCAGUGGCGAAAGCGGCUUCCUGGUCCAGCACCGACGUUCAGGCACGAAAGCGUGGGGAGCAAACAGG
rnacentral:rRNA from 1 species